rnacentral:lncRNA from 1 species
UGGUUUUUGUCUUUGGUUCUGUUUAUGUGGUGGAUUACAUUUAUAGAUUUGCAUAUGUUGAACCAGGCUUGCAUCCCCCAGGAUGAAGCCUGCUUGAUUGUGGUGGAUAAGCUUUUUGAUGUGCUGUCAGUUCAGUUUGCCAGUAUUUUAUUGAAGAUUUUUGCAUCUAUUUUCAUCAUGGAUAUUGGCCUGUUGUUUUCUUUUUUAGUGCAGUUUUUUUUUUUUUUUAGACAGAGUCUUGCUCUGUCGCCAGGAGAUAGGCUGGAAUGCAGUGGCUCAAUCUCAGCUCACCACAAUCUUCACCUCCUGGGUUCAAGCAAUUCUCCUGCCUCAGCCUCCUGAGUAGCUGGGACCACAGGUGUGUGCCACCACACCCAGCUAAUUUUUGUAUUUUUUAGUAGAGAUGGGGUUUCACCAUGUUGGCCAGGAUGGUCUCGAUCUCUUGACCUCGUGAUCCGCCCACCUCGGCCUUCCGAAGUGCUGGGCUUGUAGGCGUGAGUCACCGCACCCAGCCUUGGUGCAGUUUUUUUACCUGUCAAUGCUAAGACUAGGUUCCGCUGUGGGCGUGCUCCUCAUUAACGGUGAUGAUGUAGGAGAAAAGAGAGACAGAGGAACCACCGUAGUUUGCACAGGCGUGGCUGCAUCUCAUUUUAUCAGUCUCCUGAGGUUUCAUUAAAGAGACCUUAGGAAAGUUUAGAUCCAAGCUUAGCUAGGGAAAGUGUUUUACAUUCUUCUCUGAAGGAGGAUUGGCGCUCUGUGAAUAAGGACAGUCAAUUCUGCAGUGAACAGUCGAUUCACAAAUCAUUUCUGUUCUUCUCAGAGUGGGCCAUUUGCUGGUUUAGGGCAGAGCCUCUCCCUCAGUGGGUGCAGUUGGCACUCUGGAACAGGAUGGGAGGAGUUAAAGGUGGGACACCUGCCACGUGCUGUCACUUACCAGCCAAGCUAGUCCUUGGGCUUCAGCAUCUCUAGGUUGGUAAGUCCCUGCCAGCUUUCCUAUAGAGCGGCCACACAGAUUGAAUGAGGCUCACACAUACUUUUCAAGUGUAAGUGAACACAUUCUCACUUCAGUAGUUAAAAGCAAAGCCAAAGAACGAACUUAGACAAAUCAUUUUGCUUCAAAUGCUUCUGGUUUGCAAUAUAAGUAAGGGCCAGUGGAAACACAAUUCACAAAGCUGCUCAUUGUUUUUUCUGGAUCACAGACACCCCCUGGUGCUGAGUUCAUACCUUUUGACUUAGGUCCCUGGUAAGAACCAAGCCCCAGCCAGGGAUAGUGUGAACCAUGGAACCACUGGCAAGCUGUGUAAUGAAUCCUGUACAUUUUGACUUCAAUCACAUGAGUUACGUUAGGUGUUUGUUGGCCUUGGUAUCUUGAUCAGGACUAUUCCCUUGUGAAAGUGCUACUUGGGUUUGGCUUGCUGAUGUUGGCAAUGUAAAUAUGACUUAAUUGAUUAAUAGCAUUAAUGACUAGCAAUUACAGCACAACCUGUUAGCUGGAAAUAACUCACAAAACAAGCACCACAUUGUUAUUUAGCCUGUAUGUGGAGGAACAGCUUUGCUUCUGCUGAUUGCUCACCUGGCUUAGGGGCACAGUCCCAUUGGAGAGUCAGUUGCCUUUUGCAAUGUGGGUUAUAAAUAAAUAAAAUACACAUAUUAAUAUGUUACUUAGGAUCCAUUUAUUGCCCUUUCUUCCACUGAGAAAACUGAUCUUUGUCAAUAUGAAAUUAGCCCAUAAUCUCUGAUCAGAAGGUCAUCUACCGAGGAGAAAGCCCUCUCCUGAGGUUGGCAUAGGUAGUCUACUUCAGGAGGCUUCACUGUCUAAAAUUCUGGGCUUCUACUGCAUUCAUCCUUCUUUGAUUAUCGAAAACUUUUCUCUGCAGCUAACACUCAGGAACAAUGCAAUAAGUAACUUCCAAUUAAAGUUUUCCAUAUGUGGCAAAAAUUGUAAUGAAUGAAUAAGUAAAGACCGCAUAAUGAAAGCCUAUUAGCCAAGUGAAUAUACUCUUUUAAGUCAAAUUUCUAUACCACUUUUGUAUUAUCUCCCAUCAGAAGAGAACGUGCAAUUACCAAUUUUAUCUUAUCUCAGCUUAUUAUUAAAGAGUAGUAAAGGAAACUUCAUUCCAGGAGCCAUAAUGUGAUUUUUGAUUAAUAGGGGGUUUUUAUGUGACAAGAAUAUUUCUCCUAGGUAAAGUAUGUGCAUGGAUUCCCGCCUGAGCUGGCUUGGAAGCUACAUCUCCAGUGGAACUACUGUUCAACAAUAGCACAUAUGUUUCUACAUGGGAGGUCAGAUUCUUAACGUACUCCAAAGCACCAGAAGGGUAGGAAGAAGUUGUCUUGGACCUUGCAGACACAAAUUUUUAUUUAGUUGGUUCUAAUUAUAUCAAAUGUGACGUUGAUUUGCGUGUAAUAGGUAAGAUAAGCAGCCC